rnacentral:rRNA from 1 species
AUUGAACGCUGGCGGCAGGCCUAACACAUGCAAGUCGAGCGGAGCGGCGGACGGGUGAGUAAUGCCUAGGAAUCGGCCUGGUAAUGGGGGAUAACGUCCGGAAACGGGCGCUAAUACCGCAUACUAUCAGAUGAGCCUAGGUGGGAUUAGCUAGUUGGUGGGGUACAGGCCUACCAAGGCGACGAUCCGUAACUGGUCUGAGAGGCUGAUCAGUCACAUUGGAAAUUAGACACGGUCCAGACUCCUACGGUAGGCAGAGGGUGUGAAUAUUGUAAAAUGGGCGAAAGCCUGAUCCAUCCAUGCCGCGUGUGUGAAGAAGGUCUUCGUAUUGUAAAGCACUUUAAGUUGGGAGGCGUUACCAACAGAUUAAGCACCGGCUAACUUCGUGCCAGCAGCCGCGGUAAUAC